CACGAAGUUAGCCGGGGCUUCUUCUCCGGGUACCGUCAUUAUCGUCCCCGGUGAAAGAAUUUUACAAUCCUAAGACCUUCAUCAUUCACGCGGCAUGGCUGCGUCAGGCUUUCGCCCAUUGCGCAAGAUUCCCCACUGCUGCCUCCCGUAGGAGUUUGGGCCGUGUCUCAGUCCCAAUGUGGCUGGUCAUCCUCUCAGACCAGCUACUGAUCGUCGCCUUGGUGAGCCAUUACCUCACCAACUAGCUAAUCAGACGCGGGCCGCUCUAAAGGCGAUAAAUCUUUCCCCCGAAGGGCACAUUCGGUAUUAGCACAAGUUUCCCUGAGUUAUUCCGAACCUAAAGGCACGUUCCCACGUGUUACUCACCCGUCCGCCACUAACUCCGAAGAGUUCGUUCGACUUGCAUGUGUUAGGCCUGCCGCCAGCGUUCGCUCUGAGCCAGGAUCAAACUCU
rnacentral:rRNA from 1 species